ensembl:misc_RNA Metazoa_SRP Metazoan signal recognition particle RNA
GCCGGGUGUGGUGGUGCGCGCCUGUAAUCCCAGCUACUCGGGAGGCUGAGGCAGGUGAAUCGCUUGAACCCGGGAGGCGGAGGUUGCAGUGAGCCGAGAUCGCGCCACUGCACUGCAGCCUGGGCGACAGAGCGAGACUCCGUCUCAA